UAGGAAGUGGUGUAAUGGAAGCACCAAGAGUUUUGAUCUCUUAAGAUUGGGUUCAAAUCCCUUCUUUCUAA
rnacentral:tRNA from 1 species